AAGUGCAGUUUGAUGCAAUUCCACACUUGUGUGCAUUUGUCGGCGUGUUGCCACCUU
rnacentral:tRNA from 1 species